CCUACGGGCGGCAGCAGUGGGGAAUAUUGGACAAUGGGCGAAAGCCUGAUCCAGCCAUGCCGCGUGUGUGAAGAAGGCCUUCGGGUUGUAAAGCACUUUCAGUGGGGAAGAAAGCCUUGGGGCUAAUACCCUCGAGGAAGGACAUCACCCACAGAAGAAGCACCGGCUAACUCCGUGCCAGCAGCCGCGGUAAUACGGAGGGUGCGAGCGUUAAUCGGAAUUACUGGGCGUAAAGCGCGCGUAGGCGGUCUGAUAAGCCGGUUGUGAAAGCCCCGGGCUCAACCCGGGAACGGCAUCCGGAACUGUCAGGCUAGAGUGCAGGAGAGGAAGGUAGAAUUCCCGGUGUAGCGGUGAAAUGCGUAGAGAUCGGGAGGAAUACCAGUGGCGAAGGCGGCCUUCUGGACUGACACUGACGCUGAGGUGCGAAAGCGUGGGUAGCAAACAGGAUUAGAUACCCUAGUAGUC
rnacentral:rRNA from 1 species